rnacentral:lncRNA from 1 species
GUUUUGAUUCUGGUAAAUCUGUUCACUCUCACCUCUCUUCUCUCUCUGUCUCUCUCUCUUUGUUCAUCUCUCUAACUUCUUCCUCUCUUCUAUUUUCCAGGUGGAUACAUGAGCUCUUUUAUAUUUGUUGUUGUAACUCAAUCGAUUGAGCAAUUGAAUAAUAAAAUCCCGUACUAUUUGUUCUUUAAUUUCAUUCCUAAUAAUUCUAGUAUAUUACAAAUUGGUAUCAGAGAUCGAUCCUCGCACCAUGACGAUUACAUAAACUCAACCCAAAGUUACAGAGGAAAGAGUUAAAAAAUUAGAACAUCAAUUACAGAGUUACAUGACUGAAACCAAUUAGAAAUUGUAAACUACUGAAGCAAAACUGGAUGAUCUUGGUCACAAACUGGAUUUGAUGGUUGAGAAGCCACUCACGAACAAGAACGACCUUAUAGGGAGUGCACCAGUUGAAUCAUGAAAGAACAAAAGUAUCUAGUAGUGGAGCAAGGUUGAAGGAUCCUCAUGAAAAUUCUAUCUGUAGAUUCCAUGCGAACAACAACAAGGUUGAUUGUCCUUACUUCGAGGAAGGAGACCCUAGAUCUUGGCUGCAAAAAUUUGAGAGAUAUUUUCAUUAUAAUUACAUAAUAGAUCCUCACCAAAAAUUUAAAACUUAUGUGUUACAUUUAACUAGUAGAGCUUACUUUUCGUACCAAGUAAGUAGGGGAGUUGUAAGAUGGGCUGAUUUGUAGAGGAAAUUUGUAAGAGGUUUAAUAAUUCUGAUAAUAGAAAUAUGAAUUUACUUGGAAAAUUCAAAAGGAUUGAACAAAUAGGGAUUGUGAAUGAGUAUCUUUAGAAGUUUGAAGAUUUUAAAGCUUGGGUGUUGAUCAAACACCCUACUACUAUACCUAAGGAAUUAUUUUAGGGUUCUUCACUAAAAGUCUUAAGGAAGAAAUUAGACACAUAGUUAAAAUGUUGGAUGCUUAUUCCCUGAGUUAAGUCUUAGAGAAGGCUAGACAUAAGGAAGAUUUGUUGGAAUCAAUGAACAAAAAAAGGAAAUUGAGGAGUAGUAGACAGGGGGUUCAGUAACACUAAUCUUAGUGCACGGGUGGUUAAAUAUUCUGGUAUGGGGCAAAAAGAAGUAAACCCUAACAGUUCUAUAUCUGGUAACAAAAUGUUUGAGGCUAGAAAAGCUAUAGGAGUGUUAUUACAAGUGUGGGGAGAGCUACUUACUAGGUCAUGUGUGCAAUAAUAGACAGAUUAAUGCUCUAUCUGGUACUACUGAACAGGAGGAGAUAAUAUAAGGGUCCAGUUUGGAAGAGAUUAAAGAUAGGAGGAGCCUUACGCAGAGGUGAUUGAUGAAACCAUUAGUUUAAAUGCCUAAUAAAAUACUGUUACAUCAAUACAAUCAAGCUAAAAGUAAUGUAUGAGAAGCAAGGGUUGAUAAUAUUAGCUGACAGUGGGAGCACCCACAACUUUGUGGCUAGUGACACUGCCAAACAAUCAGGUUGUGUGAUUAGAGAAGCUGCUCCUAUGAGGGUGACUGCUGCUAAUGGUAGUCAUCUGAUGAGCUACCACUACUGCCCUCAGUUCAAAUGGAAGGUGCAAGGAGUAGAAUUUGAUUAUAAACUCAGGUUGUUGGAUAUUAGAGGAUGUGAUAUAUUACUUGGUGGAGACUAGAUGAGGAAAUAUAAUCCUAUACUAUUUUACUUCAUUGGGUAUAGGUUGCAAGUAAGUGUCAAUGGGAAAAGGGUAGGUUUGGAAGUAUUCACUGAAGAAGGGAGCCUCCAAGCUAUGUCAGCUUUAGGGGUGAAACAACUAGUGAAGAAGGGUCAAGUAUUGUGGGCACAUCUAUUCACUUUAACAGCCAAAGAAGAAAGGGUAACAGAGGCCAUACCUGAGGAGAUUAAGACAGUGUUGAAAGACUUUACAAAGGUCUUUGCAGAGCCAAAAGCAAAAGCUGCAAGGAAAAAGCAGGACCACUUCAUUCCUCUCAAACCUGAAGCAGCCCCAGUAAGUAUUAGACCUUACAGGUACAACUAUUUCCAAAAAAAUGAAAUAGAGAAACAAGUUAAUGAAAUGCUCUCUAGUGGUACUAUACAGCUUAGUCAUUCUCCCUUCUCUUCCCAGAUGUUUUAGGUAAAAAAAGAUGGAAGUUGGAGAUUUUAUAUUGAUUAUAGAUGAGUAUUAACGAUAAGUUUCCUAUUCCUUUGGUAAAUGAUUUUACGGAUGAAUUACAUGGUUUCUGCAUCUACUCAAAAAUUGAUCUAAGAUCUGAUUAUCAUCAGAUAAGGAUGGGAGAAACUGACAUCUAUAAGACUGCUUUUAGAACUCAUUUGGGCCAUUAUGAGUUCAAGGUCAUGCCCUUUGGCUUGACUAAUGCACUUGCCACCUUUCAAAGUUUAUGAAUCACAUUUUAAAACCUUUUUUUAGGAAAUUUGUGUUGGUAUUUUUUGAUAAUAUUCUAGUUUAUAGUUCUUCAGCAGAAGAAGUAUUGCAUCUUAGAAAAGUGCUAGAGGUACUAUGCAAAGAGCAACUAUAUGCCAAAAUGUCCAAGUGUCCAUUUGGACAAGAUAAAGUUUAGUACCUAGGCCAUAUUAUUUCAGGAAAGGGAGUUUUCACUGACCCUGCAAAGAUUGAAGCAAUGAUCUGUUGGCUUAUUCCUAAGUUUGUGAAAGCCUUAAGGGGAUUUCUCGGGUUAACUAGCUAUUAUAGAAGAUUUGCUAAGUCUUAUGGGGUUAUUAGUAGGCCCCUAACAAAUCUUCUCAAGAGGAAUUCUUUUCAGUGGAGUACAGAAGCAUAAAAGGCUUUCCAACAAUUGCAAGAAGCUAUGUCAACUAUACCAGCAUUGGCUCUUGUUGAUUUCAGCAAACCCUUCAUUAUUGAAAUUGGUGCAAGCGAAACAGGUAUGGGAGCUUUACUCAUGCAAGGGGGGCAGACCUAUAGCCUAUUUCAGUAAGGGAUUAGCCUUGAAACACAAAGGACUUUCUUCUUAAGAAAAGGAGUAUUUAGUUGUACUUUCUGCCAUAGAAAAAUGGAGGCAUUACUUACAAUGGGGAAACUUCAUUGUCAAAACCGAUUAUCAGAGUCUAAAGUAUCUGUUAGAAUAAAAAGUGACCACAACCUUUCAACAGAUAGGACUCACUAAAUUACUAGGAUUUGAUUAUGAGGUCCAAUACAAGAAAGGUGUGGAGAACAAAGUUGUAGAUGCUCUUUCAAGAAGACAGGAAUAAGACUCUACUUUACUAGCUAUAUCUACAUCUCAGGCCAAUUGGUUACAGGAGGUUUCUCAGAGUUAUGAGAGUGAUUUAAUCGCUCUACAGAUUUUAAGUGAGUUAGUGAUCCAUCCUGACAGUAAGGCUGACUAUUCACUUCACCAAGGGAUCACUAUAUUCAAGUAAAAGAUUUAUGUGGGGCAAAAUAAGGAGUUGAAGCAAUAGAUAUUGGAGACCUUGCAUCAAUCAUUAUUAGGAGGAAACUCAGGCCAUCAAGGAACUUACAGGAGGAGGUAAUCAAUAUUCGAUUGGCCAAACAUGAAAUCAAAACUCUUUAAGUGGGUUAGUGAGUGUGAUGCCUGUCAAAGGACUAAUACUGACCACAACCAUUACCUUGGGUUACUCCAACCCUUACCUAUUCCUGAAAUGGCUUGGCAAGAUAUAUCUCUUGACUUUAUCGAAGUGUUCCUAAUUCUGGGCAGAAAAAUGUUGUGUUGAUGGUCAUAGAUAGACUAAUGAAGUAUUGAAAUUUCCUAGAUAUUAAACACCCAUAUUCAGCACAAGAUGUGGUAGAAUUGUUUAUGAGAGAGAUAUACAUACUACAUGGGGUUCCCAAGACUAUUGUCUCUGAUAGGGAUGCUAUUUUUACUAGCCAUUUCUGGCACUAUCUCUUCAAGGCUUUAGGCACUAAACUCAACAUGAGUUAUGCUUAUCACCUACAAUCUGAUGGUCAGACUGAGAUACUUUACAUGUGUUUAGAGACUUAUUUGUGAGCUAUGGUAUUUGGAAAUCCAAAGCAGUGGGCUAGAUGGAUACAUCUUGCAGAGUGGUGGUACAACACUAAUUACCACAAUUCUCUCAAGAAGACACCGUUUGAGGCGCUAUAUGGACACCCUUCGAGCAGUUACCAAUGGGUUCACUUCCUCAUAAUGGUCACAAUCCACUAGGAGUCAACUUAGCACAGAGGCAGCACAUGCUUCAAAUUAUCAAAGAUAACCCUACGCAAGCUCAGUCUAAAAUGAAAUUCUAUGCAUACACACUAAGGUCAGAAAGGACUUUGAUAGUAGGGGAUCUAGUCUACCUAAAGCUUCAACCUUGUAGACAAUCUUCACUUGUUGUUCGCAAAAAUGUGAAGCUAAGUGCUCGCUAUUAUGGUCCCCACAAGAUUCUACAGAAGAUUGAUACAGUGGCUUACCGACUUGAACUUCCAAGCGAAUCUCAGCUUUAUCCCAUCUUCUAUGUGUCUCAAUUGAAGAAGCAGAUCGGACCAGCGAUGGCAUUGCAGCCACAACCUACCACUUGUGAUGAUGAAGGUCGAGUCUUGAUCUAACCAAUAGCCAUUUCAGAGAGAAGAAUGGUUAAGAUUGAUAAUGGGAUUCAACUAAAGGUGUUGAUUCAAUGGGCUAAGUUGGGCAGAGAAGAAGCAUCCUGGAAAGAUUGGGGUUACAUCAAGUAUAGGUUCCCAGAAUUUGUGUCACAACAAUGACCUUGAGGAUAAGGUCAGUCUUGAAGGAGUGGAGAAUGUUAUGUUUUACGCGGAGGAAUUAAGAAAGUGAAGAUACGAAUUAGGGAAAAGGGAUAUGAGAAGGAGUCUGUACUGGGCUUAUUCUGUGUAUAAGGCCAAUAUCACAAUUAACAAGCCCAAUUAUGGGAAGCAACAAUCCAUAAUAAUCAACAACCCAAUUACUAGUCAAUGCCAUAAUAAUCAACAACCCAAUUACUAGUCAAUGCCAGCUAAUAAAAAAC